ACCCAGCUGAUGAGUCCCAAGUAGGACGAAACACUCGUUCUGGAU
rnacentral:hammerhead_ribozyme from 1 species